rnacentral:rRNA from 1 species
GAUGAAUGCUGGCGGCGUGCCUAACACAUGCAAGUCGAGCGGCAGCGCGGUCUUCGGACUGGCGGCGAGCGGCGGACGGCUGAGUAACGCGUGGGAACAUACCCCAAAGUGAGGAAUAACUGCCCGAAAGGGUGGCUAAUGCCGCAUAUGGUCUUCGGAUUAAAGGAUUUAUCCGCUUUGGGAAUGGCCUGCGUAAGAUUAGAUAGUUGGUGAGGUAAUGGCUCACCAAGUCGACGAUCUUUAACUGGUCUUAGAGGAUGAUCAGUCAGACUGGAACUGAGACACGGUCCAGACUCCUACGGGAGGCAGCAGUGAGGAAUCUUCCACAAUGGGCGAAAGCCUGAUGGAGCAACGCCGCGUGCAGGAUGAAGGCCUUCGGGUCGUAAACUGCUUUUAUAAGUGAAGAAUAUGACGGUAACUUAUGAAUAAGCACCGGCUAACUACGUGCCAGCAGCCGCGGUAACA